ensembl:misc_RNA Metazoa_SRP Metazoan signal recognition particle RNA
GCUGGGUGUGGUGGUGCACACCUGUAAUCCCAGCUGCUCAGGAGGCUGAGGCAGGAGAAUGGCUUGAACCCGGGAGGCGGAGGUUGCAGUGAGCUGAGAUCCUGCCACUGCACUCCAGCCUGGGUGACAGAGUGAGACCCCGUCUCAA